AAAGCAUUCUUCAUAAGGACUAUGACCUUUAUAUACUACACAGAGUGUGGACAAAGGGGUCUGAACAAAGACUCUCAAUAGGAACUGCCUGCCUCAUGUUUUCACUCUUCUUCUAGCAAAAAAGUUAAUCAUUUGGCAUUGCAUACUAAAAGAAAAAUAAUAAUAAAAUAGAUAAUGACCUGCUUGCAGCUCAAUUUACUUGUGUCAUGAUAUAAUAAAUACCAAGCUGAGUUUUCACAAUAUUAAUCAUUAACCUAGGAGAGGGCAUUCGCUUAAAAUUCUUGUUUCAUGAAUACAUUUGCAGUUAUUUUAACAGCAGUUCCAAAUAUGCUGAAGACAUAAACAAGCCCAAGUGCCCCCAGAAGCCAAACUCCUUUUCAUCUUUCAACUUUUGGAUAUAAAGUUAUCAUCCAUCUCCCCUGAUCGAACAGUCUCUGAAACCUGAACAACUGAAGCAAAGUUGGAUUCCGGGAGCUUUUCCUCUGUGACAGACUUCUCAGGCCCACAGCAAAAUGUUUCAGGUACUGAACUGAAGAUUCUGCAACAACAUUAGAAGAUUAUUUGGAAAAAAAAUCUAUUCUACUAGAAGGUUAGAGAUUGGUUCAAAAAAAUUUAGAAAUAAUUGGUCCAGCACUGAGAAGACUUCAUGGGCUUAAUAUUGUAUCUUGUUUAGGAGAGAGAAGAGUGAAAAAUCCUAUUUGCUUGGAUUUUGUAUUUAUAAUAAAGGUGGAAUUUUGUAUUUAAA